GCUCUCGUAGCUCAAUGGAUAGAGCAAAUCCGUCCUAAGGAUGAGAUGUAGGUUCGAUUCCUAUCGAGAGCA
rnacentral:tRNA from 1 species